rnacentral:rRNA from 1 species
CCCUUAGAUGUUCUGGGCCGCACGCGCGCUACACUGAUGCAUUCAACGAGCCUAUCCUUGCCCAACAGGUCCGGGUAAUCUUUGAAUCUGCAUCGUGACGGGGAUAGAUUAUUGCAAUUAUUAAUCUUCAACGAGGAAUGCCUAGUAGGCGCAAGUCAUCAGCUUGCGUCGAUUACGUCCCUGCCCUUUGUACACACCGCCCGUCGCUCCUACCGAUUGGGUGUGCUGGUGAAAUGUUCGGAUCGGCCGUUUGUCGCGGUUUCCGCGUCAUGUGGCUGAGAAGUUCAUUAAACCCUCCCACCUAGAGGAAGGAGAAGUCGUAACA